UCAGGAUGAACGCUAGCGACAGGCCUAACACAUGCAAGUCGAGGGGCAGCACAAGGAGCAAUCUGAGGUGGCGACCGGCGCACGGGUGAGUAACACGUAUGCAACCUGCCUGUAAGCGGGGAAUAACCCGUUGAAAGACGGACUAAUACCGCAUAAUACUAAAUUACUGCAUGGUAAUUUAUUUAAACAUUUAUGGCUUACAGAUGGGCAUGCGCAUGAUUAGCUAGUUGGAGAGGUAACGGCUCCCCUAGGCAACGAUCAUUAGGGGUUCUGAGAGGAAGGUCCCCCCACACUGGUACUGAGACACGGACCAGACUCCUACGGGAGGCAGCAGUGAGGAAUAUUGGUCAAUGGACGAGAGUCUGAACCAGCCAAGUCGCGUGCAGGAAGAAUUGUCCUAUGGAUUGUAAACUGCUUUUGCAGGGGAAUAAAGUGCAUCACGUGUGAUGUUUUGUAUGUACUCUGCGAAUAAGGAUCGGCUAACUCCGUGCCAGCCGCCGC
rnacentral:rRNA from 1 species